AGCUAGAGCACGAAGGACGAGAGCAGA
rnacentral:piRNA from 1 species